rnacentral:rRNA from 1 species
UUCGGAUUGCAGUCUGCAACUCGACUGCAUGAAGCUGGAAUCGCUAGUAAUCGCGAAUCAGCAUGUCGCGGUGAAUACGUUCCCGGGUCUUGUACACACCGCCCGUCACACCAUGGGAGUCGGAAAUGCCCGAAGCCAGUGACCCAACCUUUAAGGAGGGAGCUGUCGAAGGCAGGUCUGGUAACUGGGGUGAAGUCGUAACAAGGUAGC